UAUAAUCAGAAGUCUGCAAGCUUCCAGUCAGAUAAUCCUCAGGUGCACAAUCAGUCAGCAGCUUGGAAUACAAACACUUGCCGUAGCUUGGAAGCUGAAGUCUGCCUGGAGCUUAGCAAGACUGAGAGAAAUCCUGAAAACACUGCAGAGCAGGAGUUAUUACUAUACCUACUAUUCCUCUGAACUUCUUCAAUAUUCCAUUUUUCAGUUAUUACUAUACCUACUAUUCCUCUGAACUUCUUCAAUAUUCCAUUUUUCAGAGAAUGAGUUGAUGGCCUGUGCCCGCCCAUGUCAUAAACAGCCUGCCUAUCAGGAGUGGUGCGACAAAGCCCAAGAUCUGUUUUAGUUGUGGUUCUUAAGAAUGUACCAUAACACAGAGAUGUACCCUGCAAAGAAGGAAUCCUUUGGCUGUACCUUUCCCAUAAAGGAAUCAGUGAGGACACUUUUUUUGGUGAAUCAGCCUCCUUUUUAUUAUACGUGGGUGUUCUACACAAUUACGUGGUACUUGGAGAGUGCUCUUACUUGUGUACAAAACAUUCUUUGUCUCCUCUGAAGAAUGUCCAAAUGCUAUUAAAGAUUGAUGGGCAGAACAGUACUGUUGAUUAUACGUGGGAAUCCAUUCCGUACCUAGAAAUCCACAACUUAAGAAAACGUAUCUUCACAGGCUAAUUAAUAAACAAGUGAAGUUCUAUCACUAUGGUAUGAAAGUACUGAUAUUACCAUAAAAAUGGUUGUUGUUCAUUACUUAGGCGAAGAUUGCAACAUUAAAAAUGAAGAAGCACAUGGGAACAUGACGACAAAAUAAACACAGCGGAGCCAUGAACUCAAGAGAAUGUGGAAUUGAAUUAACCCCAGGCAUAGUUUGAAGGUUUGAUAUGGUCAAUAAUAAUACUAAGAAGAACAUUCAUAUGUAGCAUGAUGGGAGACAACAACAAAAAUAUUGCAAUAGAAUUAAUCGUUCUUGUCUUCUGUAAUGUACAAUAUUGUUACAAAUCUGCGAAAGACACCAAGUGAAAUAUAUAAGAAAAUAUUGCUCAAAAGCAAUAAAUUAAUUUGCACAUGAAGGUUCAAUUGCCAAAGAAUAUUGAACAAGUUUCAAACUAAAAUAUGCAAAAUAAAACCGUAAAUUAGCCACAAUGGUCUAUACAAUGUCUACGAGCAGCACUUUGCCAUUGAAGAAUUUUUAGAACCUGUCCUUUAGUUGCAGACUUUACAGUAGCUCUACAACUUCUGGUAAUGCUAGACAUCAUGUGCCUUGCUUUCUUAUGAUACAACUCUUCAGUUAAGAGACAUUUAUGUGUCAUCUAUAAUUUUUUUUAAUAUACCUUCUUUGAUGAGGAGACCUGCAUACCACUUGCUGCAACUAUUCCUGAAAAGAACAAUGCCAAAAUACAGGAGUCUUAUUGCUUUACCCUGAGGGAACUUAUUCUAAGAUUUAACAGUCCACAUGUUAUUAUUGUAACUGAUUGAGAAUAUGCUAUUGUAAAGGACAUCCGCAAUAUUCAUUGAAAUGUAAAGUAUGUAUUAUAUUGGAAUCAUUUACUGAAAGAUGUGAAAGUCUGGGUGACCAAUCAUGAAGGAUUUAAAGAUGACAGGAAGAUGUAUAGCAACCAUGGGGGUAAUUCCAAGUUGAUUGCAGCAGGAAUUCUGUUAGCAAUUGGGCAAAACCAUGUGCACUGCAGGGGAGGCAGA